rnacentral:rRNA from 1 species
CCUACGGGUGGCAGCAGUGGGGAAUCUUGCACAAUGGGCGAAAGCCUGAUGCAGCAACGCAGCGUGAGCGAAGAAGGCCUUUGGGUCGUAAAGCUCUGUCCUAAGGGAAGAAGGAAGUUACGGUACCUUAGGAGGAAGCGCCGGCUAACUAUGUGCCAGCAGCCGCGGUAAUACGUAGGGGGCAAGCGUUAUCCGGAUUUAUUGGGCGAAAGGAGUACGUAGGCGGUUCUUUAAUCGUAGGGGCAAAGGCGAUGGCUUAACCAUCGUUCGCCCUUUGAACUGGAGGACUUGAGUAUCGGAGAGGAGAGCGGAAUUCGUAGUGUAGCGGUGAAAUGCGUAGAUAUUAGGAAGAACACCAAUGGCGAAGGCAGCUUUCUGGACGAAAACUGACGCUGAGGUACGAAAGCGUGGGUAGCAAACAGGAUUAGAUACCCCUGUAGUC